UGAAAAACUAAGACUGCCUGAAGGUGAAUGUAAUCUUGUAACAGAUGCAUGCGUAACAGAUUGUAUCAAUGGUCUAACAGUUAACUGCCAUAAGCAGGGGAAGGGGUCAGCUACCCAGGCGCGGGAGGACCUUCAUUUUAUUAUUUGGCUUUCCACCCAAUACUUGCUGUCCAUCAGCCAAUCACUUCAAAUAUGUUUAUGCACCUGGGAAGAGCAAGAGACUUGACUGCAACCCCAGGAGGAGUGAACAGAGGUGUCAGGGGUUGGGGAGCAGCACUCAGUGCAGAGGAGACCCCAUCAGGAUGUGUUGGAGAAAGAACGCAGCCCGCCAGCCUCAGGCUUCCAAAGCAGGUAUUCUGGAAGGCCAGUCAGCAGGAAGGUGAAACUCCCCACCCCGGGCAGACUCCUUCAAACAGAAGGUCUCUCUUAGCCCACAGGGGACCAC
rnacentral:lncRNA from 1 species